UACAGAGGUGGCAAGCGUUGUUCGGAAUUACUGGGCGUAAAGGGCGCGUAGGCGGUUCGUCAAGUCCUGUGUGAAAUCCCCCGGCUCAACUGGGGAACUGCACAGGAAACUAGCGGGCUUGAGUUCGGGAGAGGGAAGCGGAAUUCCGGGUGUAGCGGUGAAAUGCGCAGAUAUCAGGAGGAACACCGAUGGCGAAGGCAGGUCUCUGGGCCACUACUGACGCUGAGAAGCGAAAGCAUGGGGAGCGAACAGG
rnacentral:rRNA from 1 species